rnacentral:rRNA from 1 species
AGCGAACGCUGGCGGUAGGCCUAACACAUGCAAGUCGAACGGCAGCACAGUAAGAGCUUGCUCUUACGGGUGUCGAGUGGCGGACGGGUGAGUAAUACACCGGAAUCUACUUUUUCGCGUGGGAUAACGCAGGGAAACUUACGCUAAUACCGCAUACGACCUACUUGUAAAAGCAGGGGAUCUUUUGACCUUUCGCGAUUGAAUGAGCCGAGUUCGGACUAGUUAGUUGGCGGGGUAAAGGCGUACCAAGGCGACGAUCCGUAGGUGGUCUGAGAGGAACAUCAGGCACCCUGGAGCAGAGACACGGUCCCCACUCCUACGCGGGGAAGCAGUCGGAACUCUUGGGCGAUGGGGGAGAGCCUGAUCCAGCCCUACGGCGUAGGUGCAGAAGGCCUUCGGGUUGUUGAGUCCUUUUGUUGUGAAGAAAGUGAAGUACUUUAAUCGCCCGCUGUUCUGACGGUACCCAAAGAAUAAGCACCGGCUAACUUCGUG